CCAGCCCUGCUUUCAGUGGAGAGCUAGCUCUCUGCAGAGUGUUGAGUGCACCGUCUCACUUAAUCCUGCAGCGAGUUAGAUGGGGCCAGGAUGACGGCCACCUUGUGGGUCAGGAGACCAAAACUGAAAGAGAUUACACAGUUUGCUCUUGUUGACACAGCUAGUAAAGAGUAGAACUGGGUCUUAGUUAAGACCCUCUCACCCUAGAAGCUGUAAUCUUUAACCACGAAGCUAAGAACUUGUGACUUCUAACAGGACUCAAAGAACAUUGAGCAAUGUCGAUAUCUCCCUCAGCAGCACCGGCGUCUUUGAUGGGUGUCCUUGAGUCUAAGUUCUCAAAGGAGAGCAUCCACGUCUUAUUAGAACUUAGUAUUUCUGCACCUGGUCGUUGGUCCACGGUUGAUAACCCAUAAAUGCCUGCCAGUUGAGCUGCCUGAACUGGAUUUCUCAGGAUUUCUCAUCAGUCAUCCUGAAUUGUGUAUAUCAACAAGGGAGACCCUGUGUAUAUUUCAGAAGUCAGGUUCCAAUGUAAAGGAUUCUAAAGAAAAACGAAGCAGUGUGUCAUGCACUUUGAAACCCUGGUCUCCGUCCUCUGAGGCGUCUCUCUUUGCCCCAGUCACAGCUGGAUGAACACUGGUCAGACAGUGUACCUGCCCUUCAGAAUGCUUGCAGCUGCCCGAGGUCCUGGAGGCAUGUGGGGACUCAAUCAGAUUGGCAGGAACUUCUUUGGAAAAGUUUUCUUCUUGUUUAGUCUCUUGAGUCGUGUCCGACUCCUUGAGACCCCUUGGACGGCAACAUGCCAGGC